AUCGUUGUGAAAAAAUGGCGCAUUUUUUAAAAUGAGAAAACCACAGAGAAAAGCCUCAUCUCCUCAAGGAUGAAAAAUGGAGCAUUGUUUUUGAAAACGACACCACCAUUAUUACUAAAUGCGUGUAAUCAUUGUGUUUGCAGCUAUCAUGAAGAAGCCACUGGAGAACUUUUGCAGGAGCACUAUCAAACUCAUGUAAACCCAGUGGUAAGUGAUCGGCCAUAGAAGCUAAGGCAUCGGCGGAGAAAUUGGCUUCUCGAUACUCAUGGGAGACGGAAAAGUGAGGAUUCUGUCUAAGGAUUUGAUGGAUGGCACCAACUAUCGCAGGAUGUUCCUUGGUCGCAUUCAUCUCCUUAGUCACUGCUUGCACAACUGAUAGGCUAUCAACUUCAAUAUGCAGGUGAUAUAUACCAAUCUUCUUAGCCAACACUAAACCAUGGUAAAGACCCCAAAGCUCAGCUUAAAAAAUGGAGCAGUGGCCAAUAUUAAGAGCAAAGCCACCAUCUUCAUCUCUAAUAAUCCCACCAGCAUAGCCAUCACCAGUCCUGUUAUUGAAGCCGCCAUCACUGUUCAACUUGAAAUACCCAGCAGGAGGAUCAUUCCAAGAUAUUGAACGAACACAUCUUGACAUCUCAGGUUGGUCACAAUGGACGGAAACAGCAUUACUACGACAAACUUCCGAACAAAAAGAAACAAUUUCAUUAAUAAUUUUAGUACCGCGAUGAGGAUCUUUGGCAAAAAUAUGGGAAUUUCUCAAACUCCAAAUCUUCCAAAUGGAUAUACCAAAGAAGAGGGACCAACUCAAAUUCUCAUGAACAGCACUUAGGCUAGUCAAAUUGUAUAAAAGCCAUUCAUGUAAAGGCAUCUGGAAGAAGGGCGUUUGGAGCCAGCUGAACAACUUAUACCAAACUUGUUUUGCAUAGAGACAAUCCCGAAGAACAUGAAUGAUAUCUUCCACCAUCCAACUACAUCUAGGACAUAAAGAUUUAGGAGCUAAAUGCCUGCGAGAUCUUUCAAAAUUAGUCAGAAUGCGAUUAUGAAAAACUAACCACAAAAAAAGCCGGAUACGCUGAGGGCCUUUCCAAUGCCAAGCAAUCUUCCACGAGUUGUUUUGCUCCUUCCACUGGCUCCUGAUCAACAUACUAUAGGCUGAUUUUGUCGUGAACAACCCGUUCGGAGAGUUUGCCCAAAUUAACUUAUCACCACCUAGAGAACUUGGAGGUCGACCAUGUUUUUAUCAUAAAUUUUUACCAAGGGUUUCUUCAAUCUUGGAAAUCGCCGCAGAGGUGUCACAAGAACUUCGUAAAUUACCAAACCAUGAAAAAUGAUAUUGAAGUAACAAAGCAGCUCAGAAGAAUUGCUCUGAGGAUUGGGAUAGUCUUAAAAUCAUGUGAAAGAGAUAUUCCGGUUGCACACUAGCAGGUGAUUGCUACAUGGACUUGGAAUGCCAAGGAUGAAACAAGUGGGAUCUGUAGGGUGACCUUUGAUGGUUGUAGUUAUAAAUGUAUUUUAAGUUUUAAAUUUUAUUUAGUUAUGUAGUAGGUAGUAUAAAAUUGAUAAUUGAACAUUA